rnacentral:lncRNA from 1 species
AUGUCACUCCCAACAGAGAAGACAGACAAGCAUACAGACACGCCAUGUAGGUCCAGCUCACGUGAGAGAAAACUAACAGAGAAAAGCCAAGAGAUGCAUGACCAAGACAUCAAAAAACGUGAGAAAGCAUUUAUCAAGGCCUAUGACUCUUGGAAGCUGGCAGCAAGGGAGACGAAGACAACAUUGAAAACCCUCUGCUCAUUGGAAGACCUUGAUAAACUCAAGCAAGAUAUUGAAGCAAAGUUUGACACUGUAAGCAUACAAUAUGAACCUAUUCUUCGUAACAGUAACACCACACCAGAGAUCGUUAAGAAAAUGGAUGCCUGUGUUACACUAACCAAAGACAUUUGUGACCUCAUAAGUCAACGUCUAGAGGCUAUUGGUAAAGAUUAUAAUGACCAACUUGAGAAGGAAAGGGUGAGAGCAACAUUUAACAAAGAUGAAUAUGGGUCUGUCUUUGGCCACACCAAAACUGAAACUGUAAGCUCAUCAGAGUCAUCGGAGAGAUUGAGCAACCACUCCAGCUCAGCCUGUACCCACAGCAGUAGAGUAGAUGCACAAGCAGAGCUUGCUGCUAAGCUGGAACAAUCAAAAGCCAUGAAAGAAAUUCAAGCACAGCAAGCACAUCUUCACAAAUUAGAGAGUGAAUGGAAACUUAGAGAGGCAAAAAUGGUGUCAGAAAUUAAACAGAAGGAGGUGGAAAUGCAACAACAGUUGGAACAAGAGAGAGCAAAAUUGCAGCAGUUACAAGCAGCAAAAGAUGUCGCUAUAGCAGCAGCUCGUGUGAAAGCAUAUGACGAUUUUGAAGGUUUUGAUAAUUGUGAGGAGACUAAUGACAAAACUAACUGUGCUUGCUACAGAAUGGAAACUAAACCUCGAUUGAAUCCAGAUGCUGCAUCAUUCCAACCUCACCGAGCAGCUCCUGAAGUGACAAUGACCCAGGAGUCUGUCAGUCUAGCCCAAGCAAUCGCCAGCUCAUUAAGCAUGAACCGCUUGCCGAUCCCUGAACCAACCAUGUUCAGUGGUGACCCUUUAAGUUUUACAGAUUGGAAGAUGUCAUUCAUGGCUCUUGUUGACAAAAAACCCCUCCCACCAAGUGAGAAGCUGUUCUAUCUCAAAAAUUAUCUUGCUGGAGAGGUGCGCAAAGCUGUAGAAGGUUUCUUCUAUCGAGACUCAGAGAACGCAUACAAUGGAGCAUGGAAAGUCUUACAGGACAGAUAUGGGAACCCAUUCAUCAUACAAAAGGCUUUCCGAGACAAGCUCAUGAGAUGGCCAAAGAUCAACUCAAACGACCCACUGGCGCUACGAGAGUUUGCAGACUUCCUCCAAGGCUGCCCUGAGGCGAUCCGACAUGUCAAAGGACCAGCUAUUCUUAAUGAUUGUGAGGAAAACCACAAGUUGCUCAAAAAACUACCAGAGUGGAUCGUACGCAGGUGGAGUCGAAUUGUUGUAGAGGAACUUGACACAACUGGAAGCUAUCCAGAUCUUGCAUGCUUUAGAGAAUUCCUGAGCAAAGAAGCACGGAUAGCUUGUAAUCCUAUUGCUUCUCCACUUUUGAUGAAUUUCAAGCCUACUGAUGAAAGGUCACCAAAAAGAGCUAAAGCUCUCAACACAAAUACACAAACAAAGAGUUUCGCUCAGGAGAAACAAGAAACAAACGGCAGUAAACCAAAAUCACCUUGCUCCGUCUGUAAAAGUGAAGCUCAUAGCAUCGCCAAAUGUCCCACCUUUGCAGCGAAAAGUGUUGAAGAUAAAAAGGCAUUUAUCCAUGAAAAUCGGCUGUGCUUUGGGUGCCUAAAAAGGGGUCACAUGACCAAAGAUUGCAAGAGACGUCACACAUGCAACACAUGCAGCCGUCGUCACCCAACCUGCUUGCAUGAAGACAGGAAACAAAGACCUGUGGAAGCAACAACGAAUAGCUCCACUUCCACAGAAGAACAUGCAAGCCAGGAAACGCACAAGGUCGUAUCCCAUACAUCAACACAACGUUCUUCUGCUACCUCAAGUAUCGUCCCAGUCCUUGUGUCUUCAGUACGAGAGCCACACAGAGAAGUACUUACAUAUGCAAUACUGGACACCCAGAGUGACUCCACGUUUGUCUUAGAAGAUGUACUUAACAAACAGAGCGUUGACGCCCAACCAGUAAAACUGAAACUUAGUACUAUGACGGCUAUUGAUACAAUAUUAUCUAGCAAGAACGUCCAUGGUCUACAAGUUCGAGGACUGCACUCUAAGAACUACAUUCAACUACAGCAGGCCUACAGCCGCGACUUUAUCCCAGUGGACUUAGUCUUACGUCCCAACGAAGGAAACGGCAUUACUGUGGCCUCAUCUCAGACACUUGGCAGAAAAGUUACCACCCCUUCAAGACUGUGA